AUAAGCAACCAAAUUAGCAUCAUCAAAUCUCGAUGGUGGUCUGAUGUUUUGACGUCUGUUUCUAUCUCGUGCCAACACAUAAUUGUCCAACGAUGGAUCUCCUGAACUGACCACAACCCCUCCUCCUUGAUCUGAAUCUGAUUCCUCAUCUGACGCAACUGAAUUCUGUUAACUUUCAUCUUCUGAAUCUUCUAACACAGCUCCACCUGAAGCUGAAGUCUCUCCUACUUCAAAUGUAGCGGUCGUUGGACCCUGAAUAAGAUCAUCACUGAAGCUCAUACGUUUACCUUUUCCCUUACUCUCCGACUGAACUACCUCUCGACUUGUAAUCUGCUCUAUUUUCUCGGUUUGUGUAUCCUUAAACACUUCCUGCUCAUGAAACACCACAUUUCUACUUGUAGUACACUUUCCAUCUUCUUGAAUCCAAACCCUGUAGCCUUUAACUCCAAAAGGAUAACCAACAAACACUCCUUUUACAGCUCGAGGACUUGUCUUCUCUU
rnacentral:lncRNA from 1 species